rnacentral:rRNA from 1 species
GACGAACGCUGGCGGCGUGCCUAAUACAUGCAAGUCGAACGCAGGGGGGACGGGUGAGUGACACGUGGGUAACCUCCCAUCUGAGUGGAGAACACUUGGAAACAGGUGCUAAACCGAUAUUGAUUUAUGGACCCGCGGUGCAUUAGCUAGUUGGGGAGGUAACGGCUCACCAAGGCCACGAUGAAUAGCCGACCUGAGAGGGUGAUCGGCCACACUGGGACUGAGACACGGCCCAGACUCCUACGGGAGGCAGCAGUAGGGAAUCUUCGGCAAUGGACGCAAGCCUGACCGAGCAACGCCGCGUGAGUGAAGAAGGUCUUCGGAUCGUAAAACUCUGUUGUUAGAGAAGCGGUAUCUAACCAGAAAGCCACGGCUAACUACGUGCCAGCAGCCGCGGUAAUAC